GUGGGGAAUAUUGGGCAAUGGGCGAAAGCCUGACCCAGCAACGCCGCGUGAAGGAAGAAGGCCCUCGGGUUGUAAACUUCUUUUAUCAGGGACGAAACAAAUGACGGUACCUGAUGAAUAAGCCACGGCUAACUACGUGCCAGCAGCCGCGGUAAUACGUAGGUGGCAAGCGUUAUCCGGAUUUACUGGGUGUAAAGGGCGUGUAGGCGGGCCUGCAAGUCAGGUGUGAAAUUCCAGGGCUCAACCCUGGAACUGCACUUGAAACUGUGGGUCUUGAGUGAUGGAGAGGCAGGCGGAAUUCCGUGUGUAGCGGUGAAAUGCGUAGAUAUACGGAGGAACACCAGUGGCGAAGGCGGCCUGCUGGACAUUAACUGACGCUGAGGCGCGAAAGCGUGGGGAGCAAACAGGAUUAGAAACCCGGGUAGUCC
rnacentral:rRNA from 1 species